CAGCAGAGUAGCUGUGUAGGCAGGAUGAGAGAGCAUGACCCACACUCCCUGGGAGCUGACAGGAGUAGCAGAGCCCCUGGCUAUUUAUUCAGUGCAUGCUCUAAGAGGGUGGGCUCCUCUGGGAUGGCGGAGGACAAACGUGAGUUUUGGCGGUCACAGUGGCUGAACUGUUAUUAGCUUGGAGGCCAACUGUGUGACUUCCCAUUGUGUACAGAAGUAACAGAGAGGAGCUGUGAGCCUCCAAAACCACAGAGGGGCGAUCACGGUGGGACAGAACCCAGUGUCCUCCUUGCCCCCACCUGCAUGUGGGGCUGCUGGUGAUGGAUUCCCAUUCCAAAACUGUGCGUACAGAAAACUGCUGCAUGUUGGGUGGUUUCUCUUCCUCCUUCUCCUCCUCCUCCUCCUCCUCCGUUUCCAUCUCCUGCUCCAUCCCCUCCUCCUCCUCCAAAUCCUCCCCAUCUUCUUCCGGUUCCUUUUUCUUUUUAAACAAAGCCUAUUAUGUUUGCUUCAUUAUAAAGCAAUACUUCUAAAAUUCAAACGAUAAAGAAGAAUGAAAUCAUACAAGGACACAUGUCCGCUAAAUACAAUGGUGAUCUUUAUUAAUAUUUCGGUGCGUGUUCUUUUAAUCUUACACUGUAUGUAAUAGCAUGUAUGCAGUAUGAAUACAUAUGCGUUCAUGAGUACGUGGAUACGUGAAGGCCAGAGGUCAGUGUUGGGUGUCUCCUUUAAUCACUGCAUUUUUUUGAGGCAGCCUAGGCUGGCUGGCCAGUGAGCCCCAGAGAUCUGCCUGUCUCUUCCUCACUAAUGUCGGGAUUAUGGACACACACAUUGCUGCAUAGACCUGUGGUAGCACUUUACAAUCACAAACAACAACUAUUAUAUAUGGAAUAUAUAAUUUAAAAAAUUUAAAUCGCAUUUGUUUAUUCAUUGUGUGAGUGUGUGCAUGUGUGUCUGUGUGUGUCUAUGAGGACAACUUGGAGAAGUUGUUUCUCUCCUUCUGUUGUGGGUUCCCAGGGAUCGCACCCAGAUCCUCCAGCUUGGUGGCGAACAUCUCUACCCAGUGAGCCAUCUUGCCCACCCAUAUUAGCCUUUUUAUCUGACGUCAUGAUAUCAAUGUUUUCUUUAGUAUUAUAACUUUUUAUGAUGACUCUUAGUGCUGCAGAUAGCCCAUGGAGCUGUGUCUGCACACUUUGGAGCCCUCUUCUCCUCUUGCCUCUGCCCUGGCAACCACUUAGGGCUUGAGCCCAGCAGCGCCUAGUGGCUCGGCAAUGUGUGAGACUAAGAGGGACAAUGUCUGCCCUCAGAAGACCUGAGAGCCAGGUCACACUUAUCUCUCAUGACACCAGCCCUUGGCCUCUUCUUUGAAAUGGGAUCAACAACAUGUCUCAAAGGGUGGCUGGCAGGAAGGCGAGCUAGCUCAGUCCAAAUCUUGGUUUAUUGGUGUCACCAGAACCUUCAGGAGCCAGAAGCAGGAAAUCCAGCCCAACCAACGAAACUUAAACCAUAAAGACGAUUUAUUAGCUCACAGAAUGACAAAGUCCAGAUCCAGUGACCUGAGAGGGGCAUAGAGCCUGAAGGAUGCGGCCACAGGCCUCGGUGAUUGUUGUCAUGCAUGCCUACCGUUCUGGUCACGCCUUCCUCGGGAACAUUCUUUGCAGAACUUCCAAGACCUUCACAGGAGGGCAGCAUACCCCGCUGCUGGCAGGCCCAAGAGAAAGCAUGUUGCCCCGACUGAGCCAGCAGAGGCCCAAAUGGCGAGGCCUGGCCCACAUCCUCCUGGUCAGUGGAUGCCCACUCACCUAUACCUCCUGGCUUGUGAGGGAUUGAGGGGGGCUGGUCCCAAGAAGGGUCAGGCCUUUCCUCAAAAGAGAGGUGGACUUGGAGGGCAAAUAGCAGCCAUGUGCUUCAUAGAGAACCAAUCUCACUGUGGCCAGAGGGAAGUUCUCAGAGCAGGAAGCCCAGCAGUCCCUGUGGGUUUGAUGUUCACAAUCCUCUGUGAUGUGGUCAGAAUCUUCUCUGGUCACUCGCUUUUCCUGCCAGCCGUGCACUAACACAGUAAGUAUUUUUCUUUCAAAUGCCCAUGCAAAGAACCACACCCUUGGGCAUUCAGUCCUCAUGACCAUGAACUGGGAGGAGCCUAACCUUUGGUGACCUCAUCAGGUGACUCACCUCCUCUUCACAGACAUGGUCCAAGGGGUAUUACAGUCUCAGAUGAAGUGCCCCAUGGGAAGAGAAGAGUGGGUGGGAGAGCAUGUGGUGGGUGGGGACAGGACCUGGGUCAGGAAGAGGUUGGGACUGCAGAGCCCAUGACAGCUCUAGGUGGGGCUGGAAACCCCUGUCCGGUCUCAACACCCAGGGCCCUGUCUGUGUUCUGCAGGGAACAAAGACGUGCAGCAAGUAUGUUUCCCAUCAGCCCUGGCGUUGAGAGGAGAAGAGCCCAUUGGAUCCACGCAGCUGUGUGCCCUGCCAAUGGCAUCCUGCUUUCUGCACUUGUGUUUGCAAUCGGUCCCUGGCCUGAAAGCUCACAAGCCACCUGGUAGGAAGUCAAUCCAAGCAAGGCAGUGAGGAUGUGCUAAUGGCAAGGCAGGGCUCUGCUUUCUUUCAGAGGAGACAGCCUGACAGCAGAUUUCCCGGUCCUCUGGCUCUUAGAAUCAGCCUCUCCACUACAUCUUCCGAAAUGUUCCCUGAGCCUUCAGUGCAAGAGUCGUGUUGCAGAGGUCUCAACUGGGGUUUAACACCCCACGAUCGCUUGUGUCCUAUACUUUGACCAGUUGUGGGUUUUUUGGUAAUGGUGUCCAUCUGUUGCAAAGAAUUUCAAUUCUACGUCCCUCGGGGGAGCCAGCAUCCGUGUGAAGCUUAAGUUUUAGCAUCCUUUGCAGGGAGUUACUCCAUGGUCCAGCCAGGAAGAUUUAAGGCAAAGUGAAUGAGAAGUUUGCUUCUCUGCGGUGAGACUGGCCCCUUCCUGUUUUUCCUGCUUCCACUUCUUUCCUGAAAUAAAUAAAGGCUGGAGGAGAAGCAGCCAUCUUGUGACCAUGAGCUAGCCCUAGUCACGGGAGCCACAUACUAAUGUCAUGACUCCCUGACUACCAACCAGCAAACCUCUUACGAAAGACUGUCCCGUUUAAAGUGAGUCCACGUCCCCAGAUCCCGGUGCUUAGACAAAAGCCAGCUGCUCAUUCCACUUACAAACCUGGUGUUUGAGCCGUGCUCCCUCUUUUCUGUCCUUCCUUCUCCCUCCCUUUGUCUUGCUCUCCUGGUCCCCACCCGGCCUCUCCCUCUCUCUAGGUUCCGCUAUCUCCCUGCUCUGCUCCUGCUUCUCUCCUGCACGGGUCCGGUGUGUUGACCAUGUUCAAUCUACUACUUUUUCCCUCUGCUCCGGACUCUUCCAGAUGCCUCUGGCUGUUCUCUCCCUCACACCUGCAAUAAAAACCCUCCCCCUCAACCGUACCACGGAGUGGUCAUGCCAUCAGUUCACACACAGACAAGUGAGUCUCACCGGAAGUCACCAUGGUUGAACUCCACUGCAUUUAGCCGAACUCUACUGAUAGCAUUUCUGAAUAAACAUUUUCUUUGGAGGUGACACACUGGCCCUGAUGCCGGGCAGAGGGCAAAGUUAAAGGAGCAGGACAACAGACACGGGAGAGGCGGACUCUCCCUGAGAGUCUACUAGAAGAGCAUAGGGAGGUCACAUGUCCAGGAAGAAAUUCUGAUCACCGAUGCCCCGGUGUGAAAGAAGCUUGCUGCACUAGAUGACUUUAACAGUGCUCGAGGCCUGA